UACGAAGGGGACUAGCGUUGUUCGGAUUUACUGGGCGUAAAGGGAGCGUAGGUGGUUAGGUAAGCCCUCCGGGAAAUCUUCAGGCUUAACCUGAAAAGGUCGGGGGGGACUGCCUAGCUAGAGGGCGGGAGAGGAGCGCGGAAUUCCCGGUGUAGCGGUGAAAUGCGCAGAUAUCGGGAGGAACACCGGUGGCGAAGGCGGUUCUCUGGGCCUGUUCUGACGCUGAGGAGCGAAAGCGUGGGGAGCGAACAGG
rnacentral:rRNA from 1 species